rnacentral:lncRNA from 1 species
GGCGCCUCACGGGGUAAGAGGGAGCCCGCGCUACUUAAGCACAUGCACACACCAGAGUUGCCCGAUGUGGGACUAUUAAGGGAGGUCCCCCCACAGCCUGCCACAAUAUGCCCCCCACUCUGGAGGGUGCAUGUGUGGACGGGGGCGGGUGCCCCCUACCUGACGCGCCACUGUUGUGCACACGUGUUAAGGCCACGGUACCUUCCCCUCUCCACCGC